rnacentral:rRNA from 1 species
UACGUAGGGUGCAAGCGUUAUCCGGAAUUAUUGGGCGUAAAGAGCUCGUAGGUGGCUUGUCACGUCGGGUGUGAAAGCUUGGGGCUUAACUCCAGGUCUGCAUUCGAUACGGGCUGGCUAGAGGUAGGUAGGGGAGAACGGAAUUCCUGGUGUAGCGGUGAAAUGCGCAGAUAUCAGGAGGAACACCGGUGGCGAAGGCGGUUCUCUGGGCCUUACCUGACGCUGAGGAGCGAAAGCGUGGGGAGCGAACAGG